CAGCACCCCGAGUGGUCGGGACGAUUAUUGGGCCUAAAGCAUCCGUAGCCGGUUCUGCAAGUCUUCCGUUAAAUCCAUCUGCUUAACAGAUGGGCUGCAGAGGAUACUAUAGAGCUAGGAGGCGGGAGAGGCAAGCGGUACUUAGUGGGUAGGGGUAAAAUCCGUUGAUCCACUGAAGACCACCAGUGGCGAAGGCGGCUUGCCAGAACGCACUCGACGGUGAGGGAUGAAAGCUGGGGGAGCAAACCGGAUUAGAGACCCGAGUAGUCC
rnacentral:rRNA from 1 species